CCCUUAGAUGUCCUGGGCCGCACGCGCGCUACACUGACAUGUUCAACAAGUUUCUCCUAGUUCGACAGGACUGGGAAAUCUUUGAACGCAUGUCGUGAUAGGGAUAGAUCAUUGCAAUUAUUGAUCUUGAACGAGGAAUUCCUAGUAAACGCGAGUCAUCAGCUCGCAUUGAUUACGUCCCUGCCCUUUGUACACACCGCCCGUCGCUCCUACCGAUUGGGUGUGCUGGUGAAAUGUUCGGAUCGGCCGUUUGUCGCGGUUUCCGCGGCUCGUGGCUGAGAAGUUCAUUAAACCCUCCCACCUAGAGGAAGGAGAAGUCGUAACA
rnacentral:rRNA from 1 species